rnacentral:rRNA from 2 species
CUGGCUGUGUGCCUAAUACAUGCAUGUCGAGCGAUGAUAGCAAUAUCAUAGCGGCGAAUGGGUGAGUAACACGUACUCAACGUACCUUUUAGAUUGGGAUAGCGGAUGGAAACAUCCGAUAAUACCGAAUACUUAUUAUUUUUGCAUGAAAGUAAUAUAAAAGGAAGCGUUUGCUUCGCUAAAAGAUCGGAGUGCGCAACAUUAGCUAGUUGGUGAGGUAACGGCCCACCAAGGCGAUGAUGUUUAGCGGGGUUGAGAGAUUGAUCCGCCACACUGGGACUGAGAUACGGCCCAGACUCCUACGGGAGGCAGCAGUAGGGAAUAUUCCACAAUGGACGAAAGUCUGAUGGAGCGACACAGCGUGCAGGAUGAAGGCCCUAUGGGUUGUAAACUGCUGUGGUUAGGGAAGAAAAAGUAGCAUAGGAAAUGAUGCUACCUUGACGGUACCUGAUUAGAAAGCAACGGCUAACUAUGUGCCAGCAGCCGCGGUAAUACAUAGGUUGCAAGCGUUAUCCGAAAUUAUUGGGCGUAAAGCGUCUGUAGGUUGUUUGUUAAGUCUGGCGUUAAAUUUUGGGGCUCAACCCCAAAACGCGUUGGAUACUGGCAGACUAGAGUUAUGUAGAGGUUAGCGGAAUUCCUUGUGAAGCGGUGAAAUGCGUAGAUAUAAGGAAGAACAUCAAUAUGGCGAAGGCAGCUAACUGGGCAUACACUGACACUGAGAGACGAAAGCGUGGGGAGCAAACAGGAUUAGAUACCCUGGUAGUCCACGCCCUAAACGAUGAUCAUUAGUUGAUGGGGAACUCAUCGACGCAGCUAACGCAUUAAAUGAUCCGCCUGAGUAGUACGUUCGCAAGAAUAAAACUUAAAGGAAUUGACGGGGAUCCGCACAAGCGGUGGAGCAUGUGGUUUAAUUUGAAGWUACGCGUAGAACCUUACCCACUCUUGACAUCUUCUGCAAAGCUAURGAGACAUAGUGGAGGUUAACAGAAUGACAGAUGGUGCAUGGUUGUCGUCAGCUCGUGUCGUGAGAUGUUCGGUUAAGUCCUGCAACGAGCGCAACCCUUAUCCUUAGUUACUACCAUUUAGUUGAGCACUCUAARGAGACUGCCCGAGUAAUCGGGAGGAAGGURGGGACGACGUCAAAUCAUCAUGCCUCUUACGAGUGGGGCUACACACGUGCUACAAUGGACGGUACAAAGAGAAGCGAAGUGGURACAUGGAGCAAACCUCAAAAAACCGUUCUCAGUUCGGAUUGAAGUCUGCAACUCGACUUCAUGAAGUCGGAAUCGCUAGUAAUCGUAGAUCAGCUACGCUACGGUGAAUACGUUCUCGGGUCUUGUACACACCGCCCGUCAAACCAUGGGAGCUGGUAAUGCCCGAAGUCGGUUUAUAAAGAAACUGCCUAAGGCAGGACUGGUGACUGGGGUUAAGUCGUAACAAGGUAUCCCUACGAGAAC